GCCAGGCACAGUGGCAUGCACCUGUAGUACCUGCUACUUGGGAGGCUAAGGCAGGAGGACUGCUUGAUCCCAGGAGUUCAAGGCUGCAGUGAGCUGUGAUCGCACCACUGUACUCCUGCCUGGGUGACAGAGAAAGGUCCUGUCUCUAAAAAUAAAUAAUUUUUUUUCUUUUUGUUUUGAGAUGGAGUCUUACUCUGUCACCCAGGCAGGAGUACAGUUGUGUGAUCAUAGCUCACUGCAGCCUUGAACUCCUGGGAUCAAGCAAUCCUCCUGCCUUA
rnacentral:sRNA from 1 species